GGCGGUGUAGCUCAGUCUGGUUAGAGCGUCGGAAUCAUAAUCCGUAGGUCCGGGGUUCAAAUCCCUGCGCCGCUACCA
rnacentral:tRNA from 2 species